CACCGUUUUCAUUACAACAGAAUACCAGCAAAGAAGAUCUUCAUUUCUAUGAAUUACAUUCAGGCCAGUAGCACUGAAAACCUAUAAAACAUCUUCUACAAAUCAAGGAGGACCAUCACAACUAUGAAGUCAAUAUAUUUAGUCUUGCUUUUUGUUGUCAUCAUCUGGCGUAUGCCUACAGUUAACAGCAGGGCCAUCAAAAAUCAAGAAGUCUCAAA